rnacentral:rRNA from 1 species
GGAGGCGUGUGUUUGUGUUGUGCGCAUAUAUAUAUAUAUAUAUAUACGCACACGUAUACAAGUCAGAGUUGGACAAAAAUACACACCUGCACUCUCUUUUCGAGAUGUGCGUGUGGAAAAACUCCUCUCUGGUGGUUGCAAAGCAGUCUCUCUCUCUCCUCUCUCCUCUCUAUUCUCUCUUCUCCUCUCACUUUAAGAGGGGGGGAGAGGAGGGGUUUUAUAUAGAGAAGAGGGGUGUGGGGGGGGGGAGGCUGUGACCAG